rnacentral:rRNA from 1 species
UACGUAGGGUGCGAGCGUUAAUCGGAAUUACUGGGCGUAAAGCGUGCGCAGGCGGUUCGUUGUGUCGGCGGUGAAAGCCCCGGGCUAACCUGGGAACGGCCGUUGAAACUGGCGAACUGGAGUGUGGCAGAGGGGGGGUGGAAUUCCGCGUGUAGCAGUGAAAUGCGUAGAGAUGCGGAGGAACACCGAUGGCGAAGGCACCCCCUGGGCUAACACUGACGCUCAGGCACGAAAGCGUGGGGAGCAAACAGGAUAGAAACCCCUGGUA